rnacentral:rRNA from 1 species
GCUUGGCCCUAAACCUCAGUAGUUAAAUAACAAAACUACUCGCCAGAAUACUACAAGCAACAGCUUAAAACUCAAAGGACUUGACGGUGCUUUACAUCCCCCUAGAGGAGCCUGUUCCGUAAUCGAUAAACCCCGAUCCACCCCACCCUCUCUUGCUCAGCCUAUAUACCGCCAUCUUCAGCAAACCCUAAUGAAGGCCACAAAGUGAGCGCAAACGCCACUGCCGCGAAUACGUUAGGUCAAGGUGUAGCCCAUGAGACGGUAAAAAAUGGGCUACAUUUUCUAUUUCAGAAAACCCACGAAAACCCUUAUGAAACUUAAGGGUCCAAGGAGGAUUUAGCAGUAAAUUAAGAAUAGAGUGCUUAAUUGAACCAGGCCAUAAAGCGCGC